CGCGUAGGCGGUCUCUUAAGUCAGAUGUGAAAGCCCGGGGCUUAACCUCGGAAGUGCAUUUGAAACUAAGGGACUUGAGUAUGGGAGAGGGAAGUGGAAUUCCUGGUGUAGCGGUGAAAUGCGUAGAUAUCAGGAGGAACACCGGUGGCGAAGGCGACUUCCUGGACCAAUACUGACGCUGAGGCGCGAAGGCGUGAGGAGCAAACAGGAUUAGAUACCCUGGUAGUCC
rnacentral:rRNA from 1 species